UACAGGGGGUGCAAACGUUGCUCGGAAUCAUUGGGCGUAAAGCGCACGUAGGCGGUCUGUUAUGUCGGAUGUGAAAGCCCUUGGCUCAACUGAGGAAGUGCAUCCGAAACUGGCAGGCUAGAGUACUAAAGAGGGUCGCGGAAUUCCCGGUGUAGAGGUGAAAUUCGUAGAUAUCGGGAGGAACACCGGUGGCGAAGGCGGCGACCUGGGUAGAUACUGACGCUGAGGUGCGAAAGCGUGGGGAGCAAACAGGAUUAGAAACCCCCGUAGUCC
rnacentral:rRNA from 1 species